CCUACGGGUGGCAGCAGUAGGGAAUAUUGGGCAAUGGACGAAAGUCUGACCCAGCCAUGCCGCGUGCAGGAUGAAGGCGCUCAGCGUUGUAAACUGCUUUUGAUAGGGAAGAACGGCCUUCUUGCGAGAAGGUGUGACGGUACCUACAGAAUAAGCACCGGCUAACUCCGUGCCAGCAGCCGCGGUAAUACGGAGGGUGCAAGCGUUGUCCGGAUUUAUUGGGUUUAAAGGGUGCGUAGGUGGCUUUUUAAGUCUGACCUGAAAGUGGGCCGCUU
rnacentral:rRNA from 1 species